GAUGAACGCUGGCGGCGUGCCUAAUACAUGCAAGUCGAGCGGACCAAAGAGAGCUUGCUCUCUGAGGUUAGCGGCGGACGGGUGAGUAACACGUGGGUAACCUGCCUGUAAGACGGGGAUAACUUCGGGAAACCGAAGCUAAUACCGGAUGAUAAAGAGAAACGCCUGUUUCUUUUUUGAAAGUCGGCCUUGUGCUGACGCUUACAGAUGGGCCCGCGGUGCAUUAGCUAGUUGGUGAGGUAACGGCUCACCAAGGCGACGAUGCGUAGCCGACCCGAGAGGGUGAUCGGCCACACUGGGACUGAGACACGGCCCAGACUCCUACGGGAGGCAGCAGUAGGGAAUCUUCGGCAAUGGACGAAAGUCUGACCGAGCAACGCCGCGUGAGCGAUGAAGGCCUUCGGGUCGUAAAGCUCUGUUGUCAGAGAAGAACAAGUACCGGAGUAACUGCCGGUACCUUGACGGUACCUGACCAGAAAGCCACGGCUAACUACGUGCCAGCAGCCGCCGUAAAAC
rnacentral:rRNA from 1 species